rnacentral:rRNA from 1 species
AUUGAACGCUGGCGGCAGGCCUAACACAUGCAAGUCGAGCGAGCUGCGGACGGGUGAGUAACGUCCGGGAAACUGCCUGAUGGAGGGGGAUAACUACUUGAACCGGUCGCUAAUACCGCAUACCAUUUGAUGUGCCCAGAUGGGAUUAGCUGGUAGGUGGGGUAACUGAUCACCUAGGCUACGAUCCCUAGCUGGUCUGAGAGGAUGACCAGCCACACUAGAACUGAGACACGGUCCAGACGCCUACGGAGGGCAGCCGUGAGGAAUAUUGCGCAAUGGGCGCAAGCCUGAUGCGGCCAUGCCGCGUGUGUGAAGAAGGCCUUCGGGUUUUAAAGCACUUUCAGCGGGGAGGCGUUACCCGCAGAAGAAGCACCGGCUAACUCCGAGCCAGCAGCCGCGGUAAUAC